AUGACUGCGCGGUCGGCGCUGGACGAGGUCACCGACACGGGCGCCUUCGGCCGGUCGCCAUCCACCUUCCGGAGCUCCGUUUCCAGGGACAGGUGGUUCCCUGCCGUGGCGGGGCGGUACCACCUCUACGUCUCGUACGCGUGCCCCUGGGCGUCCCGGUGCCUCGCCUUCCUCAAGCUCAAGGGCCUCGACCAUGCCAUCGGCGUCACGGUCGUGAAGCCCAUCUUCGAGCGGACCAAGGGGAGCGACGAGCAUCUGGGCUGGGUGUUCCCCGCCGCCGCCGACGACGAGCCCGACGCCGAGCCCAACCCUCUCAACGGCGCCCAGAGCGUGAGGGAGCUCUACGAGAUCGCCCGCUCCAACUACGCCGGGAAGCCAACCGUCCCCGUGCUGUGGGACAAGCAGCUGAAGACGGUGGUGAACAACGAGAGCUCUGAGAUCAUCCGGAUGCUCAAUGACGAGUUCGACGGCAUCACCAGGAACCCCGGGCUGGACCUCUACCCGGCCCACCUCCGGGCCUCCAUCGACGAGGCCAACGAGCUGGUCUACGACGCCAUCAACAACGACGUCUACAAGUGUGGCUUCGCCAAGAAGAAGGACGACUUCGUGCUUGUGCCGGAUUUGGGGUCGCUCACCAGCAUCCAUGACAGGUGGGCGCGUGAACUCUUCUACUACCUCAAGGGUGGGCAGGUGGACUAUGGCGAGGAGCACAGCAAGGCUUGCAGCCACAACAGGUUUGGGAGAAUAUAUCACACAGGGCACUAUCCUGUUUGUUACGAGCACAACCCAGUGCAUUUUGUGGGGCACUCUGCUGGCGCGCAGGUUGUGAGGGUGCUGCAACAGAUGCUUGCCGACAAG